rnacentral:lncRNA from 1 species
UGAGAUGAUAAUUGCUCUUCCUAAUCCAUGUGAAAUCAUUGUCAAGAUUAUUGAAUCAGACCCAUCAUUCCAAAGAGUAACAUAUGAACCGACAUUUCUUGAAAUGUUGAACUCUGUUCCAAUUAAUAGAAAGUUCAGGGGAUUCUCCUGGUACAAGUAAAAGCUCGACACAAUCAUCGUUCAUUUUGCAGCCACAAAUUAUAAAUGUCCCAGCUACUGUCCAGUCUCCACUCUCUCUAGAGAUUGGAGUUAAGCUACCUAUCUUUUCAAUGGAGUGCAGCAAAUAUUUAAAUGGUUUGGUGCCUUGCCGUAAGUAUACUUUAAAAGAUGUUUGCAGUGAAUUGGCGCAUCACCUUGAAGAGUGUCUUCCAGAGGGAAACCCUUCAAUAAGAAAAAGGUUCUAUAAUCGUGUAACUGUCCUUUUGAAACAGUCAUACCCAACCUGUACUUUUGUAGAAGAGGGUGCAGGUGGAGUUGUAAAGCGCGUUUCUAAUGUAAUUCGGAAGCGACGUGAGCGUCGUUUAAAAAGUUUGCUUGAGGUAAAAAAUGCAAACAGAAUGCUAAACAUCUCUGGAAUAAACGACAGCUCAUUUG